CCUAAUGUAAAUAUCUGUGUUUUUCAAGGUCCUAUGACCCUGUGGAAGGGUCAUUUGACCUGCAGGUUGAGAACUGCUGUCAUAGAGGAAGAAGCCUGGGCUCGGGACUGUUACAGUAUCUGUGACAACCAGAUGCUGAGUGGGUGAUUCCAAGGACCUUCACGCAUGCUCAGCUUUGAGCGGACUUGAUGUCUCUCAAGUACUUGUUUUACUUGAAGAUUCUGGCUUUGCUGAAGAAGUCAAAGGGAGGGACCAAGCUUCCUGUCACGAACGUUGCUGCAACUCAUCAACCGCUUGAUCAAAUGGGACCUGCUUAUCACUGAGUACUCAACCAGAAAAUCUUAGGGUGAUCUGUUCGGAAACCACAUCCAGUUCAUUUUCUUGCAGACACAUUGGAUGCCCAGACUGACCACAGAGGCUAUCAAGGGAAGAACAUUCAGUCAGUGUCCUGGCUGGUUUUGUGU
rnacentral:sRNA from 1 species